rnacentral:rRNA from 1 species
GACGAACGCUGGCGGCGUGCUUAACACAUGCAAGUGGUGCGACGAACCAGGCUUCGGCCUGGGGCAGAGCCGCGAACGGGUGAGUAACACGUGGGCAACCUGCCCUGUUGAUCGGGACAACCCGGGGAAACCCGGGCUAAUACCGAAUGUGGUGCCGGCUCAUGAGAGCCGUCUCGAAAGGAAGCUUCGGCCUCCGCGACAGGAUGGGCCCGCGGCCCAUUAGCUUGUCGGUGGGGGAAUGGCCUACCAAGGCAACGAUGGGUAGCUGGUCUGCGAGGACGAUCAGCCACACUGCGACUGGGACACGGACCAGACUCCUACGGGAGGCUGCAGUGGGGAAUCUUGCGCAAUGAGCGACAGCUUGACGCAGCAACGCCGCGUGGGGGAAGAAGGCUUUCGGGUCGUAAACCCCUUUCAGUUAGGACGAAGCUUUAUUGGUUAAUAACCAAUUGGAGUGACGGUACUUUCAGAAGAAGCCCCGGCUAACUACGUGCCAGCCGCCGCAGUAA